AGACUCAAAAGCUGAACCAACAUCUACCCAUUCGCUAUUUCUAAAAGAUCCCAAUUAUCCCAUUAGUGAAGAUAUGAUUGGUGACUAGCCCAAUUGUCAUCAGAGAGAAUUCAUCCUGCAACUGAAAGAAACAGAUACUGAAACCCACAGCUAAACAGGAGGCUGAGCUCAGAGAAUCUUCUGGAAGAGAGAUAGAAGAAGGAUUUAUAGGUGCAAGAUUGAAAGCAACCUUGCACAAUUGGUUGGUCAUGUUGUUUUGGAUGAAGGCUGUACCUAAGAAUAGGAGUAUGUAGCAGAAAAGCCCUGUUCAUCUCAUGGCCAGGAAGUGAGAGGGAAGUAAAGAGGCUGGAAUUCUGCCUAUCCCCUUGGAGGGCACCCACAGAGUGACCUAAAUGCAUGCUUUGUAUUAUGCCCCUUCUACUGAUGAUUCUAGUAUUUAUAAACAGUACCACACUGGAGACCAGACCUUGACACAUGACCUUUAAGAGGAUCCAACGUAUAUCUUAUUCAUUGAACCGUUCUAUUAGUCUAUCACGUUUUGAUUCAUGUUCCUCACUGAUCAAUUGAUAACUCAAACUAAUAGCAAGCGAAGAAUUGCUAAGUUCAAAUAAGGGGGAGUGCUGUCAUUGUGUCUCUGACCUGUGACAGGAAGUGGUCUUCUGUGUGCUCUUGCCCAAGAACCUUCUUGAUAUGAUGGUUUUUCUGUAUUGAAAGUUAGUUAGCAAAAUUAUGUUUGUCAAGAAGCAGGUUCCCGGUGCCUACCUUAAAAAGAUGAUCUAUCCAGCCCAACUGGGAACUUUCAUUCUGAUACUUUAUACGAACUCUUCAACAUGACUUGCCCGCAUGAUCAUUUUUCUCAGAGCGCUUGAGUAUGAACCUUGACUUUCCCACUUGCUCGCUGGGUGAUUUGGGG
rnacentral:lncRNA from 1 species